UACAGAGGGGGCGAGCGUUGUUCGGAAUUACUGGGCGUAAAGGGCGCGUAGGCGGCCUCUUAAGUCGAACGUGAAAUCCCCGGGCUCAACCCGGGAACUGCGUCCGAUACUGGGGGGCUUGAAUCCGGGAGAGGGAUGUGGAAUUCCAGGUGUAGCGGUGAAAUGCGUAGAUAUCUGGAGGAACACCGGUGGCGAAGGCGGCAUCCUGGACCGGUAUUGACGCUGAGGCGCGAAAGCCAGGGGAGGCAAAACGGG
rnacentral:rRNA from 1 species